GUGUCUUAGGAGGCAGGAAAAGUCAUCGUUCCAUUGCCAUGGAGAUCCCAUUCCCACCUGGUGAUGCUGUGGAAGACAAGCCAAGAUGUAAACUGGAGGCAGACCAUCAGUAGCUCCCUGGAGAAGACAAUUAACUGGAGAAGUCAGAUUCCCGAACGAGCUAGGGCCCUGAGCAGUGACAGCCUGAUGUCCCAGCCUGGGCACUCUACACCUCAGUGGGCAGGCGGCAGCGGCAGAAAGGGUGACAGUGAAAUCUCCCUGGACAAGAAGAAAAAGUUGAGGUAGAGUCCCUGGCACUGCAAAUGGGAUGAGCAGGGAUUCGGAGACGGGUCAGGAAAGGAUUGAUCAUUUUGCUUCUCCUAGACGCUAACCUAAUUGCUGCUCCUUGAUCAUUAAUUAUGAAACCUGAAAUGAUUAAAUUGUUAUCCAGUCUAAAAA